rnacentral:rRNA from 1 species
CAUUAACGAGUUAGGGUCUCUCCAGGCCCGACCUCCCAACCCUUUGUUUACCGAACCUCUGUUGCUUCGGCGGACCCGUCUCACGACCGCCGGGGGACCGCCGACAGGCGUCCUCUGGCCAGCGUCCGUCGAUAGCCAAACAUUUAAACCCUGAAUAAAUCGUGUCUUGUGCCUAAUUCUAUGAUUAAAUCAAAAACAAAACUUUCAACAACGGAUCUCUUGGUUCUGGCAUCGAUGAAGAACGCAGCGAAAUGCGAUAAGUAAUGCGAAUUGCAGAAUUCCAGUGAGUCAUCGAAUCUUUGAACGCACAUUGCGCCCUUUGGUAUUCCGAAGGGCAUGCCUGUUCGAGCGUCAUUAUCACCCCUCAAGCCCCGUGCUUGGUGUUGGACGGGUUGGUCGGGGCUUCCCUCGACCCCUCCUAAAGACAAUGACGGCGGCCUGUGGUUCCCCCGGUACACUGAGCUUCUUAACCGAGCACGUACCGGACGAGGGCGCCCAGGCCACGGUCCUCUCCUUUCACCAGGAAUCUUUUUUUUCAAGGUUGACCUCGGGUCAGGUAGGAAUACGC